GCUGGUGUGGCUCAGUCGGUAGCGCAGCUGAUUCGUAAUCAGCAGGUCGCCGGUUCGAUUCCGGCCACCAGCU
rnacentral:tRNA from 1 species